UGAUUUCUAUAUUUGACCCAAUGAACAGAAAUAACGUAAAUACUUGGUGGUGGAACAACUCUCGACAGACAUCGUGAGCUGAGCAUCAUUGUAGUAAAACUAUAUAAAGGCUUGUC
rfam:Zobellia galactanivorans strain DsiJT chromosome, complete genome.